rnacentral:lncRNA from 1 species
GAGAGGGGUAAUUUACAGAGUGGGUAGCAGAUGUGGGCUCUGUAGAUAAGGACUGGCAGGAAAGUUGUUUACUGAAACUAAAACAGGGAGGCACAAAGGAUAAGGAAGUUAGUUUGGCUUUGGAAGUAGGGAACAAAGAACAAGGACACUGAACAAGCUAAAUCUUUGAAGAGGAACUUCUUUUGUAUCUGACAAAGGUCUUCAAGGAAGAAGGGAGAGAGUGACCUUUCUAGGUUUUAUGGUUGAUGCUGGUGGAGAGGAGUUCUAGUUUCUAAGAUUUACCUUGAGGAAGAAGAACUGUAGUUUCUGUGGCUUGCAGACAAGCAAAGCAAAGCUGAUAAGCAUCAUUAGCAUCCAUUUUAAAUUUAAGCAAACUGAACUCCAAGAGGUUAAGAAACUUGCUCCAAGUGACACAGCUGGCCCACCCGCAGAAGGGAGCUACCCACUGUGAGUCUCUUCUCCACUGAGAGCUGGACACUCAUUAGGACGACCUGCCUUUGGAAAGAACUACCCACUUUGGGUCUCCCGAGAACUGUUCUGUCACUCAAUAAAUCUCUCCACCUUGUUCAUCC